rnacentral:rRNA from 1 species
UGGAGCAAUCCAUGAGUAGAGUGGCAAACGGGUGAGUAACGCGUGGGUGACCUGCCUUCGAGCGGGGGAUAACGUUUCGAAAGGAACGCUAAUACCGCAUGACAUCCUGCCUUUGAAGAGGCGGAGAUCAAAGCUGGGGAUCGCAAGACCUAGCACUUGAAGAGGGGCCCGCGUCUGAUUAGCUAGUUGGUGAGGUAACGGCUCACCAAGGCGACGAUCAGUAUCCGGCCUGAGAGGGCGGACGGACACACUGGGACUGAGACACGGCCCAGACUCCUACGGGAGGCAGCAGUGGGGAAUUGUUCGCAAUGGGCGCAAGCCUGACGACGCAACGCCGCGUGGAGGAUGAAGACCUUCGGG